CAAUAGCUCCGAUAGUAGUGGAAAUUCUUUUGUGACGGGCUUCGGCAUAAAGGAUUGUAACGUAUAGCGGGAAAAGCU
rnacentral:sRNA from 1 species